AGUGAACGCUGGCGGUAGGCCUAACACAUGCAAGUCGAACGGCAGCACAGUAAGAGCUUGCUCUUACGGGUGGCGAGUGGCGGACGGGUGAGGAAUACAUCGGAAUCUACUUUUUCGUGGGGGAUAACGUAGGGAAACUUACGCUAAUACCGCAUACGACCUACGGGUGAAAGCAGGGGAUCUUCGGACCUUGCGCGAUUGAAUGAGCCGAUGUCGGAUUAGCUAGUUGGCGGGGUUAAGGCCCACCAAGGCGACGAUCCGUAGCUGGUCUGAGAGGAUGAUCAGCCACACUGGAACUGAGACGCGGUCCAGACUCCUGCGGGAGGCAGCAGUGGGGAAUAUUGGACAAUGGGCGCAAGCCUGAUCCAGCCAUACCGCGUGGGUGAAGAAGGCCUUCGGGUUGUAAAGCCCUUUUGUUGGGAAAGAAAAGCAGCAGGUUAAUACCCCGCUGUUCUGACGGUACCCAAAGAAUAAGCACCGGCUAACUUCGUG
rnacentral:rRNA from 1 species